rnacentral:rRNA from 1 species
GACGAACGCUGGCGGCGUGCUUAACACAUGCAAGUCGAACGGAAAGGCCCUGCUUGCAGGGUCCUCGAGUGGCGAACGGGUGAGUAACACGUGGGUGAUCUGCCCUGCACUUCGGGAUAAGCUUGGGAAACUGGGUUUAAUACCGGAUAGGAACCAUCUUUAGUGUGGUGGUUGGAAAGUUUUUUCGGUGUAGGAUGAGCUCGCGGCCUAUCAGCUUGUUGGUGGGGUAAUGGCCUACCAAGGCGGCGACGGGUAGCCGGCCUGAGAGGGUGUACGGCCACAUUGGGACUGAGAUACGGCCCAGACUCCUACGGGAGGCAGCAGUGGGGAAUAUUGCACAAUGGGCGCAAGCCUGAGGCAGCGACGCCGCGUGGGGGAUGAAGGCCUUCGGGUUGUAAACUCCUUUCGCUAGGGACGAAGCUUUGUUGUGACGGUACCUAGAUAAGAAGCACCGGCUAACUACGUG